CACGUAGGGGGCAAGCGUUGUCCGGAUUUAUUGGGCGUAAAGAGCGUGUAGGCGGCCAGGUAGGUCUGCUGUGAAAACUCGAGGCUUAACCUCGAGCUGUCGGCGGAAACCAUCUGGCUAGAGUCCGGAAGAGGAGAAUGGAAUUCCCGGUGUAGCGGUGAAAUGCGCAGAUAUCGGGAAGAACACCCGUGGCGAAAGGCGGUCUCUGGGACGGUACUGACGCUGAGACGCGAAAGCGUGGGGAGCGAACAGG
rnacentral:rRNA from 1 species